rnacentral:rRNA from 1 species
GAUCCGUGCCCCUUACGGGGUAUGUGUGUUGGUGUGGCGUCUGCCAUCUUUUGUGUAGAUGCUUUGUCCAUAUAGGGGCCUUUACUGGUUCUUGUUGGCUUAGGUUAUCAUCUACAUCUUUUACUUUGAAAAAAUUAGAGUGUUUAAAGCAGGCUUUUGCUAUGAAUACAUUAGCAUGGAAUAAUAAUCUAGGACUUCGGUUCUAUUUUGUUGGUUUCUAUAACUGAAGUAAUGAUUGAUAGGGAUAGUUGGGGGUGCUAGUAUUGGCCGGCCAGAGGUGAAAUUCUUGGAUUCGGUCAAGACUAACUUAUGCGAAAGCAUU